rnacentral:lncRNA from 1 species
GUAACUCAUAUGGCUCUUCUGACUUUGGGUGGGACGAUGAGACCAUGACCUCAGAUUACACUUCAGUCUUUGCUCCCAAUAAUGCUGUGCCAGCAUAUGCCGAUCCUGCGUGCCUGCAAGGUGAAGUGUCAAAGAGAAUGAGGAACACCUAUGGUUUAGCUGUGCCUCAGGGAAAUGGCGCACCCAAUCUCGCACAAGACAUGUCCGGUUUUAAUCCUGAGAUGAACUAUUUGCCAUUGUCUUAUGUUGAGAGCAGCCCGGACACAUCAAUGGACAGCCUUCUGCAAAAUGAUGCUCCACAGGACGGGGCUAGCACUGGGGAUCUCUGGAGC